GACGAACCGUGCGAGCGUUAUUCGGAAUCACUGGGCUUAAAGCGCGUGUAGGCGGGCCGGCACGUCGGUCGCUGAAAGCCCCCGGCUCAACCGGGGAAGCGGCGCCGAUACGACCGGCCUGGAGGGGGGUAGGGGGACCUGGAACUUCCGGUGGAGCGGUGAAAUGCGUUGAGAUCGGAAGGAACGCCCGUGGCGAAAGCGAGGUCCUGGACCCUUUCUGACGCUGAGACGCGAAAGCCAGGGGAGCGAACGGG
rnacentral:rRNA from 1 species